rnacentral:rRNA from 1 species
CCCCAGCGCCACAAGUGGUUAUCACGAUUAUUGGGCCUAAAGCGUUCGUAGCCGGUUUGGUAAAUCUCUUGUGAAAUUGUUCGGCUUAACCGGACAGCGUGCAGGAGACACUGCCAGACUCGAGACCGGGAGGCGUAUGAAGUAUUCCAUGGGGACUGGUAAAAUGGGAUAAUCCAUGGAAGACUACCGAUGGCGAAGGCAUCAUACGAGAACGGAUCUGACGGUGAGGAACGAAAGCCAGGGGAGCGAACCGG